GGGUUGUGAGGUUAAGCGACUAAGCGUACACGGUGGAUGCCCUGGCAGUCAGAGGCGAUGAAGGACGUGCUAAUCUGCGAUAAGCGUCGGUAAGGUGAUAUGAACCGUUAUAACCGGCGAUUUCCGAAUGGGGAAACCCAGUGUGAUUCGUCACACUAUCAUUAUGUGAAUACAUAGCGUAAUGAAGCGAACCGGGGGAACUGAAACAUCUAAGUACCCCGAGGAAAAGAAAUCAACCGAGAUUCCCCCAGUAGCGGCGAGCGAACGGGGA
rnacentral:rRNA from 1 species